rnacentral:pre_miRNA from 1 species
UCAAUGUUCCUGUGUACAUAUGUUUGUUCUAGAAGCUCGACUAGCUUCUAGAACAAACAUAUGUACACAGGAACAUUGA